rnacentral:rRNA from 1 species
GACGAACGCUGGCGGCGUGCUUAACACAUGCAAGUCGAACGAAGAGCGAUGGAAGCUUGCUUCUAUCAAUCUUAGUGGCGAACGGGUGAGUAACGCGUAAUCAACCUGCCCUUCAGAGGGGGACAACAGUUGGAAACGACUGCUAAUACCGCAUACGAUCUAACCUCGGCAUCGAGGAAAGAUGAAAGGUGGCCUCUAUGUAUAAGCUAUCACUGAAGGAGGGGAUUGCGUCUGAUUAGCUAGUUGGAGGGGUAACGGCCCACCAAGGCGAUGAUCAGUAGCCGGUCUGAGAGGAUGAACGGCCACAUUGGGACUGAGACACGGCCCAGACUCCUACGGGAGGCAGCAGUGGGGAAUCUUCCGCAAUGGACGAAAGUCUGACGGAGCAACGCCGCGUGAGUGAUGACGGCCUUCGGGUUGGAAAGCUCUGUUAAUCGGGACGAAAGGCCUUCUUGCGAAUAGUGAGAAGGAUUGACGGUACCGGAAUAGAAAGCCACGGCUAACUACGU